GUGUGUGUGGUUCCGAUGCACUAGUAUCUGCUGUUCUUCGAUCCGAUGCUAGCUGAUCUGAUCCCGACGGUUGUCUCUGUUCUUGUCCGCGAGGGGCCGGGCGAGCGGGGUGCGCAGUGGACGGAGUUCGUCUCGUGGGAGCCCAGGGCGUUCGUCUACCACAAGUUCCUGAUUUCUUAGCAAGAUCAGACAGACAAAAAGGAAGGUUCACACAAGAUACAACAUGGGUGUCAAGGUGCGCAUAGGUGCAUUCACAAAGAGAAUUCUGAAGCUUCAUCGCGUGCCCCACCAGACCACGUUGUCGACGAGUGCGUCCGUCACCACUCCCUUUGCCAUCGUGGCUCACAAUUUUUGUUCUACAACAAUUGAUGUAGCGUCUUUCACUGAAUCUUCCACUGUUCCGAUUACCAACACGACUCUUAUGUAAUUAUCAUGGUGCUAAUGCUAUAUUUAUCAGGGUGCUAAUGAUAUAUUUAUCACACUUGCUAUUGCUAAAA